rnacentral:rRNA from 1 species
CGUAGGGGGCAAGCGUUGUCCGGAUUUAUUGGGCGUAAAGAGCUCGUAGGUGGUUCGGUAAGUCGGAUGUGAAAUCUCCAGGCUCAACCUGGAGGGGUCAUUCGAUACUGCCGUGACUAGAGUUCGGUAGGGGAGUGUGGAAUUCCUGGUGGAGCGGUGAAAUGCGCAGAUAUCAGGAGGAACACCCGUAGCGAAGGCGGCACUCUGGGCCGACACUGACACUGAAGAGCGAAAGCGUGGGGAGCGAACAGGAUUAGAUACCCUGGUAGUCCACGCCGUAAACGUUGGGCACUAGGUGUGGGACUCUAUCGACGGGUACCGUGCCGUAGCUAACGCAUUAAGUGCCCCGCCUGGGGAGUACGGCCGCAAGGCUA